rnacentral:lncRNA from 1 species
UGAUGUCCCAGCGCCACUAAAGCCAAGACACCACCUAACUGCUCACAGCGACCAUGGACAUAAAAGCAGCUGGUUCCAAACAGCAGCAUUCUCAAGGGCAGGGGCUCCCAGUGGCAGGGCAAUUCACGUGAGCAACUCCAUGUUCUCCCAGUAAAAGCAGGGACGGAUCUACUUAACGAUUAUUUUCCUAUGAGCAAAACCGUGGAGGCCACCAUCCUAAUUCAGAAGGACUGGCCUUUCUAUCACUGGAACACGGGUCCAAACUGAAUGUCUCUCGCUUCUGGAUCAAAAAAGCCAGCUCUCACUAACAGGUUCAGAGGCAGAAGGAAAUCGGCUGUGAGUCUCAGAUGAGAUUUCGGACUUUGAGUUGAUGCUAGAACAAGCGUUUUGGAGACUAUUGGGAAGGGAUGAUUGUAUUUUGCAAUGUGAGAAGGACAUGAGAUUGGAGGGGCCAGAGACAGAAUGACAUGGUUUGGAUGAUGGCCCCUCCAAAUCUCAUGUUGAAAUGUGAUCCUCAUUGCUGGAAAUGGAACCUGGUAGGAAGUACUAGAUCAUGGAGGUGGAUCCUUCAUGAAUGGCUUAGUGCCAUACCCUUACUGAAGAGUGAGUUCUCAUAUGGUUUAUGCAAGAUCUGGUUGUUUAAGGGAGUCUGGGACCUCCCCCUUCUCACUCUUGCUCAUGCUCUUGCCAUAUGACACGCCUGCUCUCCCUUCACCUUCUGCCAUCAUUGGAAGCUUCCUGAAGCCUCACCAGAAGCCAGGCAGAUGCUAGCACCACACUUCCUGUAUGGCCUGCAGAACCGUGAGCCAAUUAAACCUCAUUUCCUUAUAAAUUACCCAGUCUCGGGUGUUCUUUUAUAGCAAUACAAAAACAGAGUAACACAGGAUCACUGAAUGAUCUUUGAUUAUUCCUCUUACCUUUGCCAGGCUUCAAUAUCCAGUCACUAACUCAACAAAUCAUGUUUCUUCUCUCUGCACAAUAUUUCUCCCAUCUGCCUCUUUUUUUUUGGCUUCCUCAACCAAUAUCCUAGUUCAGGCUCUUAUUACCCAACACCUAAACAUAUCUAUAAGCUCUUAACUGGCCUCCCAUACACAUCAAUCCAUUCCAUCUAUGGCCACGUGUUUUGAUAAUCUUUCUCUGCUGAUCAGAAACUCAGGAGGUGGCCGGGCGUGGUGGCUCAUGCCUGUAAUCCGACA